rnacentral:misc_RNA from 1 species
GGAGCUUGAAAUGCAAAGAGUCUACAGACCUCACUGUCUCACGCUUGUGCUUUCUUGCUUCUUCCAAGAACUGAAAGAAGUCGAUUUGUGGGUCAAAGCCAUAAUCGCUGAAGUGAUGAGGCUCAGGCAUACGGAAUAUGGGAGACUUAUUAGCUAUCUCGGUGUUUUCAAAGCCCUGCUUUUGUUGAUUUCAAUUUAUUGCUGCAGGGUCACACGAGGAGGCCGUAGACAGAGAGAAGUAGAGAGGCCCGUGCGAUUUUUAGGCUUGGGGACUCAAGGUGGUGAUGGGAAUGGACGCUGGAGAAUAGGGAAGGGAUCUAUUAGUUUAAACUUGUG